rnacentral:rRNA from 1 species
ACUCAAAGGAAUAGACGGGGGCCAGCACAAGCGGUGGAACAUGUGGUUCAAUUCGAUGCUACGCGAAGAACCUUACCCAGGCUUGACAUGCUUGUAGUAGGGACCUGAAAGGGCGACGACUCGUAACCAGUCGAGAGCUUGCACAGGUGCUGCAUGGCUGUCGUCAGCUCGUGCCGUGAGGUGUUGGCUUAAGUGCCACAACGAGCGCAACCAUUGUUGAUAGUUGCCACCAGGGGCCGCAAGGCCUGCUGAGCACUCUAUCGAGACUGCCAGCGACGAGCUGGAGGAAGGUGGUGAUGACGUCAAGUCCGUACGGCCUUUAUGCCUGGGGCUACACACGUGUUACAAUGGCGUUGACAACGCGCUGCGAACCCGCGAGGGCAUGCUAAUCGCUUAAACAACGCCUCAGUUCGGAUCGCAGGCUGCAAUUCGCCUGCGUGAAGCCGGAAUCGCUAGUAACGGCGGAUCAGCUACGCCGCCGUGAAUACGUUCCCUGGCCUUGUACACACCGCCCGU